GUAAUAGGAAUAUGUUCUUGCCGAUUUAUAAUCUUAAAGCAAAAAUGGCAGUGAAAAAUCUGGCAUUGUCAUUACGGUAUUAUUGUUUGGCCUAAUUGAACCUAACAAUGUAAAUGACACACAGGGUAUACAUGUGGGAACAGAUUCCUACCCCUUUUUUUUAGUUGUAAAAACACUGCAAAUCAAUGCUAAGCAGCGGCUUAUGGUUUUUUGAGGGGUAAUACUCUUGCACCCUCUUUAUUUAAUAUAUAGAUGUGUUUGAUGUUUGACAGAAUUUAAUCUUGAAGAGUGGGGUUCUGACAAUUGAUAUUAAAAUUUCAGGUUUUGAGGAGUGAGAAUCUCGUCUUAUAGUAGAUUAGAAGCUUAUGCAAGUAAAAAUUUGUUGACGGAUGGCGUAAAUGUAGAGAAAAUAUUGCUAAGAAAAGAACCACUAACACAAAUUAUUGGGGAGACAAACCAUACAUAUUCUGCAAUGAGCUCUUUUGGUUGAAGACAGGGUUUCUAGACAAAUAUUAAAUGAACAAAGCAUGAUUAUUAAAAAAAGAAACCCUGUCCAAGUCUCAACAAAUGGCAAUUGUCUC
rnacentral:lncRNA from 1 species